AUGGCCUGGACUCCUCUGCUCCUCGCGCUCCUCUCUCACUGCACAGGGUCCCUCUCCCAGCAGCUCGUGCUGACCCAGCCGCCCUCCCUCUCUGCAUCUCCAGGAGCCACAGCCAGACUCACCUGCACCCUGAGCAGUGGCUUCAAUGUUGGCAGCUAUGCUAUAUCCUGGUACCAGCAGAAGCCAGGGAGCCCUCCCCGGUAUCUCCUGAGAUUUUACUCAGAUUCAAAUAAGCACCAGGGCUCCGGGGUCCCCAGCCGCUUCUCUGGAUCCAAAGACGCCUCGGCCAAUGCGGGGCUCCUGCUCAUCUCGGGGCUGCAGCCUGAGGACGAGGCUGACUAUUACUGUAACACAUGGGAUGGCAGCUCUAACAGUCACACAGUGGUCCAGACCCACAGGGAAGGUGACCGCUUUGACGUCAGUACUUUCUGGUUUAGCUGGUUCCAGCAGAAGCCAGGGAGCCCUCCCCGGUAUCUCUUAUGGUAUAAAUCAGACUCAGAUAAGUACCAGGGCUCCGGGGUCCCCAGCCGCUUCUCUGGAUCCAAAGACGCCUCGGCCAAUGCGGGGCUCCUGCUCAUCUCGGGGCUGCAGCCUGAGGACGAGGCUGACUAUUACUGCGCUGCAGAUCCGGGCAGUGGGAGCAGCUACCGUUACCCACAAGACGUGUCAGACCCGCAGUUAAAGGGCCAGUCCCCCUGA